UUAAAAUAAUAAAAAAAAUAAAAAUAGAUCUCUCUCUCCUAAUUAAACACUCUCGAACAGAUCGAAGAGUGAAGAACGAAAGCUCACAAAACUCGGGUCCUCUCUCUAGAAAUCAGUACUCUUCUGCUAAAAUCUCACCCAAAUCGAAAUCCCUCAAAUCAAAAUGUGAAUGUCAUUUUUCAGGAAUACAAAAAAAAUCACACAGAAAGAAUCGUUUGAAGCCUAUUUGGUGUUGUUAUUGUCGAUUCUCGGUCUUGACAGAAUCUCAACUAUUUCUUUUUGUGGGGACAAGGCACUUAAACAGUGGUAUCGUUCAAGGAUGGUGUCGAGCAAGGAGCAGUUACAAGGCACUUAAUAUUUUGUCUUUUUUGGGAUAUGUAUAUGCGUACAAUUACAAUGCACAAUUGAAGUGUCGGGUAGUAUAUAUGUAAUUGACUUUUUAGUAAUGAUAAUAUUUAUAAUAUUCGGCUUGAGAAAUUC